UGGUGGGUUGCCUUGUCAGGUUGAUUCCGGUAACGAACGAGACCUCAGCUUGCUAAAUAGCCAGCGCCGCACCUGCGGCGCGCAGGCUUCUUAGAGGGACUAUUGGCGUUUAGCCAAUGGAAGUUUGAGGCGAUAACA
rnacentral:rRNA from 1 species